rnacentral:rRNA from 1 species
UACAGAGGUCUCAAGCGUUGUUCGGAUUCAUUGGGCGUAAAGGGUGCGUAGGCGGCGCGGUAAGUCGGGUAUGAAAUCUCGGGGCUUAACUCCGAAACUGCAUUCGAUACUGCCGUGCUUGAGGACUGGAGAGGAGACUGGAAUUUACGGUGUAGCGGUGAAAUGCGUAGAUAUCGUAAGGAAGACCAGUGGCGAAGGCGGCAUACUGGACCACCACUGACGCUGAUGCGCGAAAGCCAGGGGAGCAAACGGG